rnacentral:rRNA from 1 species
UACGGAGGAGGCUAGCGUUGUUCGGAAUUACUGGGCGUAAAGCGCGCGUAGGCGGACCUGCAAGUCGGGGGUGAAAGCCCGAGGCUCAACCUCGGAACUGCCUUCGAUACUGCGGGUCUCGAGUCCGGGAGAGGUGAGUGGAAUUCCUAGUGUAGAGGUGAAAUUCGUAGAUAUUAGGAAGAACACCAGUGGCGAAGGCGGCUCACUGGCCCGGUACUGACGCUGAGGCGCGAAAGCGUGGGGAGCAAACAGG